GUGUGCGAUCAUACUAGCGUUGAUGCAUCGGAUCCCAUCAGAACUCUGCAGUUAAGCGCACUUGGAAUAGAGUAGUAUUGGGAUGGGUGACCUCUCGAAAAGUCCUAGUGUUUCACCUG
rfam:Picea glauca, whole genome shotgun sequence.